ACUGAAUUUCAUUCUCUGAAAAAAAGUGUAUUUAUUUCUUCUGUUUCAAUACUCUGUUUUUCUUUUGGUAUAUGUAUGUGUUUGUUAAUAUAAGUUAUUACUUCCUUUCGGUUGCUCUUUUGAAAAAACUUAAGAAGCUAUUUUCUUUUGUUCCAAAAACUGAACAACAUAUUACUUUUGGAUGGUUCAGUGAAGUUAAAAAACACCAUAGGUAAUUUCUAUCUAUCUGCUUAAGAUUGGUGGGUAGAGUUAACAAAUACUUGUGUGGAUAUGCAUUGUCGAGGUUAGUGUUAGAUGCUGGCUUGAACUCCACUUUUGGUGGAGUAAUGUGUCUCAUCCUAUCUAGGAUGGUGUCACGUAGACAAGAUGCUUAUGCCAAGGUAGCAAUGGUGGUCGAAAAAACAAUUGGCUCCUGUCAUAUGUUUAAAUUAGUAUGAUGCCCAUGAUCUGAUGAAAUUUAUAUUGGGAGCAAAACAAUCUUUGUUUCACUUUCUUUUCAGAAAAUAAUCACCAGUAGACGAUAUGUACCUUGUUUCCUCCUCGUGCUGCAUCUUUUUCAGGGGAGAAGCAAGUUGUGAAAAAUUCUUAUAAGCAUUUUAAAAGACUAAACUAUUUUCAUUUCGCUAUUAUGUACUCCAGCUAUGCUUUGGCUAUCUGGUAUGGUGCAAGGUUCAUCUUGGGAAAAGGAUAUACUGGUGGUCAAGUUUUCAAUGUUUUCGACGUCAAGCUUCUCCAUUCAGUAGCAAGCGAUUUACUUCUUAAGUAAAUUUUUGUAGGGAGAGUUUUCUGCAAAAAUGUGUGAUGCUGGUGGCGAAUUGACAAUGCACGGGAGGAAUGACCUGAGAGAAUUAGAGAACUGAUUGUUAUGAGUGCUUCGUUUGAUCAUGGGGAGGAUGGCAAUCUGCAUCUAGCCAGGGAAGCUGGCCACUCCCAUCGCCAAAUUAUCCAUGCUGCUGAUAUGAGAGGCAGAGAGAUAGAAAAGGCCCUUAUUAGAGGCAAUUAUUAAGUAUCCUAGAACACAUGUGUUUCAACGCCAUUUUGCUAUAGAUUUGUUGACCACUCAAGUUUGGACAAUGCGAUGAGAUGUGUUGUUAGAGUCCUGUUCUGAAGGAUCAACAAUGGAGUGUUUAUAUUGUUCGUGCCCCUGGCUCUACUUGCUAUUGUGAGGUUUACCAUCUCUCCAUUUUAUCACUUUGAAUUUAUUAUAUGUAUCGUUCCACACUCUUUGAAAGUGUUAAAUUUUUGUAUUGAUGUUGUGUUGCCAUGACUCUAUGUUUAUUGAUGCUCUUCUUAUGGCCUUUUAGUUUAUGUAUUUGUUAGGAGUCUGAGAUUUUUAUUUCAAGGUUUGCAAAUUGAGGAUUUAGGAGUGCAAAUGUAUUCUUGCAUUUCACAGCUGAGUUGAGCAAUCAUAUGUUAUGAUUAAAUAUUUCUAUUUCAGGUCCCCACACUACUUUUUUAAUUAUUACUGAAGUUUAGUAAUUUGAUUUCAGCCGUAGUUAUGGUGUGAGUAUGUUAUCUAACAUUUAUGUUCUAUAUUUUGAGUUAGUUUUUUGUGUUAGUUAUGUUGAAAUCCAUUUUAUUAACAUGGUAUUAGAAUUAUACCAACACGUCCAUGUUGUGUGAUUUU